rnacentral:rRNA from 1 species
CCUACGGGGGGCUGCAGUGGGGAAUAUUGGACAAUGGGGGGAACCCUGAUCCAGCCAUGCCGCGUGUGUGAAGAAGGUCCUCGGGUUGUAAAGCACUUUCAGUGAGGAAGAACGCCUGGUGGUUAAUACCCAUCAGGAAAGACAUCACUCACAGAAGAAGCACCGGCUAACUCCGUGCCAGCAGCCGCGGUAAUACGGAGGGUGCGAGCGUUAAUCGGAAUUACUUGGCGUAAAGCGCGCGUAGGUGGCUUGAUAAGCCGGUUGUGAAAGCCCCGGGCUCAACCUGGGAACGGCAUCCGGAACUGUCAAGCUAGAGUGCAGGAGAGGAAGGUAGAAUUCCCGGUGUAGCGGUGAAAUGCGUAGAGAUCGGGAGGAAUACCAGUGGCGAAGGCGGCCUUCUGGACUGACACUGACACUGAGGUGCGAAAGCGUGGGUAGCAAACAGGAUUAGAUACCCGGGUAGUC